rnacentral:lncRNA from 1 species
ACCCAGGGUCAUACACUAUUGAUGAGUUGUCGGUACAAGGUUUUAAAGAUCUUUUGCAGCUUAACUUGAUCAGCUAUUUCACUGCUAGUAAGUAUGCUCUACCAAAUUUACGGAAGUCAAAAGGAAAUAUUGUCAACAUUACAAGUAUUGCUUCAGCAGCAGCUUUCAGAAAUUCUGUAACAUACGUGGCUACAAAAGGUGGUAUUACAUCUUUUACAAAAGCUCUGGCAAUUGAUGAGGCAAAACAUGGAGUUCGCGUGAAUGCAAUAGCACCAGGUGCUGUUGACGCUCCACGGCUAAAAGAAGUUUGGCCAGCAGAUGAACUGGAAAAGCUCAAAACCUGUCACGUACUUCAAAAAUUUGCUGAACCAAGGGAGAUUGAUCUGGCGUGUUUGUGUCUGGCAGUCGAUGCUACAUUCACUACUGUAGAAAGCUAAUGUGUACUGGAGGAUCAGAAAUUGGAUUAGGAAUAAAGAAUACUGGAUUAGCAUUUUAAAUAUGAUUGUAGUAGAAACGAUAUACGGGGUAAAAUACUGGAUUUGCAUUUUAAAGAAUCACAUUAUAGCAGAAACCGGACAUGGAAUAAAAAUACUGGAUAAGCAGUUUAAAAAAUAACAUUGUAGCAGAAGUCGAAUACGAAAUAAAAACAAUUGAUUAGCAUUUGUAGCAGAAAUCGGAUACGGAAUAAAGGAUACGGGACUGGCGUUUUAAAGAACAAGAUUGUAGCCGUAUAUGGAGUAACGAAUACUGGAAUAAAGUCUAAAGAAUAAGAUUUUGACAGGAAUCAGAUACGGAAUUGAAAUACAGGUUUAGCAUUUUAAUAAAUAAAAUUGUAACAGAAAUCGAAUACGGAAUUAAACACUGGAUUAGCAUUUUGUUCUGCGACAUCUUAAUCUGUCAUUUUUACCGAUAUUGAAGACUUUGAAUUAGCAAUAUGAUGUAUGCUUUCACAUGGUAGGCCAAUGACAUGUCAGUACUUUAACACCGAGCACCUAGCUCAUUUUAAAAGUGUCCCCUUCAGGUAGAGGCUAUUAGUAAUGAAAUUAUCAAAAUACCUGUUCCUUUUCUUACGAGGUAUUACAUACAAAUAAAACUUUAAAAUGAAAAUGUAUUUCGUCAACCUAUUGGCAGUAAUAAGUGAUUACCUGAGAUUAACUUAGAAGACUUUUUGUUUUUUUACAGUCAUUAAGAUUUAGAAUAGUGGCAGAUUUUCAUUUAUCUAUUGUAAGAUAUUUUAAGAGAAACGAGUUUAAUCCGAUAUUUGUAACUACUUUCCAGUAUGAAUACAACAUAUAAAAAUUAGUUUUGGCAUUCAAUGCGCAGGAAUGUUUUAUUGUUCUAAACUCUCAAAUUUCUUUUAUUGAAAUAUGCUCUUACAGUUCAUAUGCAUCUCAUUUAACGGUCAAGCAUCCGACAUGUUUAAGAAACUCUGACAUUUUGAAUGGUUUUCUCAGUUACCUAAAAUAUCAUAUGGAAUUGUUCACUGCUUUAUAUUGCCUCUGUUUGUUGUGCUGUCGUGUUUUUGUUAUAUCCCUGCAAAGUCAACAAGACAGAAAACAAUGGUAAACUACUUUGGUAAUGCACGUACAGGGACCUACUGAUUAUGCCAUAUUGACUCAAAAUUAUGUCUGCACUAUUCAAUAGUUUAUAUAGUCUUACGCCAGUUUAAUUAAAGGUUUAAGUUUGACAAAAAAUAUUAUAUACACGAGUAUUUGCUGAAUUAGAAACGCUCCUUACAAUUUAUAUAUCGUAGUUCAAUUUGUUACGACAUGCUAUUUGCUGUUUUGUUAUUUGAGAAUUGUUUAUAGUUUCUGCAUUUUACUAUAUUAAAAGGUCUAUGCUUC